UUAAAAAUAAUCUUUCAGCUAGAGUAUACUAUUCCAAUUCAAUACUACAUUAGUUCAAAUUGUGUGGAAACGAAUCCUUAAUAGUCGGUGGCCACGUCAGAUUGUUGUUUUAUAUUCAUUUAUAUAUAUAUAUAUAUAUAUAUAUAAUAUAGUUUAUCAAUAGACAAAAUUCUAGAGAGGAGAGAGAGAGAGAAGGACUUAGAGAGUUUUCGAUACCUUGAUAAAUAUUCUCCUUUUUAUGAAUAAUGUGCGUCAAACUCAUUGAACUUUGUAAUAUAUAUAUAUAUAUAUAUAUAUUACAAAUUCAAUUCAUUACAUUACGCAUUAAUUAAAAAAAAAUUGCAUCAAUUUCAAUAUAUAUUGCAUUCUACACAGAUAUACUCCUGAACAAUAACACAAGAGAACACAUAUAUUAAAUAAGAAACUGUAUAUAUACAAAUUAUGUUGUAAAUUACGUGCGGUGCAAAGAGAUUUUUUACGUGCGGCAACGUCGAAAAGCUGUGCUACAGUUACACUGUAGUAAAUUUUCAGUUCUAAGAGCCCUUUGAUGACGACACGCGUACGGUGGAUGAGCACGUAGGAAUCUGGCGAAGUGGGCCCACCCGAUUAAAUUCCCCAGUUUCCAACGUGAUUCUUGGAGAAUCCGACGGGGUGGGGGCCUCGCAUAGAGCCAUUCACGAGAUGCGGCGAACAGUUAUUUAUUUUAAAUUUAUUAAAAUGAAUAAAUAAUCCAUUAAAUACAUUUCCAUAUUUUAUAGAGAAACUACCAAAUUGGGCCCCUCUACAACCUCUUUUUGUCAACGCACGACUUGUAUAAAUACCCUCCCCCUUCUCAACCCCCUCCUAACACUUUCAAAACACACAUUACUUGUUAUAUAUUUAUCCUUCUUCGAUCUACUUAGUUUAACAAUUCAUUAAAGGAGAUUACGAUGGAGCAGGGAGUGAGCGCUCCAGGGAGCUCGGUGCACGGGUUGACGGGGAGGGAGCCCGCAUUCGCGUUCUCGGUGGCGGCAGCGGAGGCGGGGGUCGAUGCGGCGGGGGGCAAGUUCAGCCUGCCGGUGGACUCGGAGCACAAGGCGACGGCGUUCAAGCUGCUGUCGCUGGCGAAGCCGCACAUGCAGACGUUCCACCUGUCGUGGAGCUCCUUCUUCACGUGCUUCGUGUCGACGUUCGCGGCGGCGCCGCUGGUGCCGAUCAUCCGCGACAACCUCAACCUGACGAAGGGGGACAUUGGUAACGCCGGGGUGGCCUCCGUCUCCGGGGCCAUCUUCUCCCGUCUCGUCAUGGGCGCCGUCUGCGACAUGCUCGGCCCCCGAUACGGCUGCGCCUUCCUCAUGAUGCUCGCCGCCCCCUUCGUCUUCUGCAUGUCCCUCGUCUCCAACGCCGGCGGGUACGUAUACUAAACAACCAGACCUGCUGCAACCGUUUCUCUACAAAAGCUUAAUCAUAUAUAGCCGGUCAACUUAACUGUCACUGACGCUAGCUAGCUAGUACCAUUUAUGUUCUGUUACUGGCUGGUAGAGAACGAUGUUUAAUUAUAAAUAUUGAUUAUGGGUACUACGUACUGGUGUGAGUACGGUGCAGGUACAUAACGAUGCGGUUUCUGAUCGGAUUCUCGCUGGCGACGUUCGUGUCGUGCCAGUACUGGAUGAGCACGAUGUUCAACAGCAAGAUCAUCGGGCUGGCGAACGGGACGGCGGCGGGGUGGGGGAACAUGGGGGGCGGGGCGACUCAGCUGAUCAUGCCGUUGGUGUACGACGUGAUCCGCAAGGCCGGGGCGACGCCUUUCACGGCGUGGCGCAUCGCCUUCUUCAUCCCGGGGUUUCUCCACGUCAUCAUGGGCCUGAUGGUGCUCAUCCUCGGCCAGGACCUCCCCGACGGCAACCUCACCAGCCUCCAGAAGAAGGGCGACGUCGCCAAGGACAAGUUCUCUAAGGUGAUCAAUGAUCAUCACUUUUACGUACAAUCUAUAUAUAUAUAUAUAUACCUGAUCAAUCUUAAUUAAAGAAUUAAUUGUACGUACGUGGAUUAAUGAAUACCAAUCUUAAUAAUUAAAGAAUAAUAUAUAUAUGUAUAUAUAUAUAGGUGCUGUGGUAUGCGGUGACGAACUACCGGACGUGGGUGUUCGUGCUGCUGUAUGGGUACUGCAUGGGGGUGGAGCUGACGACGGACAACGUGAUCGCGGAGUACUUCUUCGACCGCUUCGACCUCAACCUCCGGACGGCCGGCACGAUUGCGGCGUGCUUCGGCAUGGCCAACAUCGUGGCUGGGGCAUGCGCGCCCGCCUCUGGAACGUGUGGAUCCUCGAGACCCUCGGCGGCGCCUUCUGCCUCUGGCUCGGCCGCGCCAACUCCCUCCCCGUCUCCGUCGUCGCCAUGGUCCUCUUCUCCAUCUGCGCCCAGGCCGCCUGCGGCGCCAUCUUCGGCGUCAUCCCCUUCAUCUCCCGACGCUCCCUCGGCAUCAUCUCCGGCAUGACCGGCGCCGGCGGCAACUUCGGCUCCGGCCUCACCCAGCUCCUCUUCUUCACCAGCUCAAGGUAUUAUCAUUUUUUCUUUAUCUUUAUUUUUAAGUUGCCAGAGAACGGUGUUUUUACAUAUACUGAUUGGACCAUCAUCGAUCACCGAUCGAGCAGGUACUCGACCGCGACGGGGCUGGAGUACAUGGGGAUCAUGAUCAUGGCGUGCACGCUGCCCGUGAUAUUCGUGCACUUCCCGCAGUGGGGGUCGAUGUUCCUGCCGGCGUCGACCGACGCGGCCAAGUCGACCGAGGAGCACUACUACGGCGCCGAGUGGUCGGAGGAGGAGAAGAGCAAGGGGUUGCACCACGCCAGCUUCAAGUUCGCCGAGAAUUGCCGGUCGGAGAGGGGGCGCCGCGUCGCCUCCGCCCCAACGCCGCCCAACACCACGCCGGAGCACGUCUAGAAUAAACUAGCUAUAACACAUACAUACAUAUAUAUGAUAUGCGUAGUUUUUACGUGUAUUUGAUGUGGAUGCAUGGGUGCAAUUGCUCUACCUGUACUGAGGCAGUAUUUGAGCGAAGUUGAUUUCUGAAAGCAUUUAAAGGCUACUUAAUUAAUGAGUAUAAUGAUGUAUAAGCAGUAAAGAUUUUGCUAAAUAAUGUAUUCAUCAGCUAGAUGAAACAUUAUGUACCUGUACUCUUGUGUGUACUGGUUAUACGUGCAAUAUAUUUUGUCGCAGUACAAUAAUCCAAAAUUUUAUAUAUUGGAGUUCGCACUUUCUCAAAAUCCAUUUUCAUCAGCAGUUGAUCCCAAAUUACGUGAAUUAAUUAGCACUUCUACGCUGACAAUUAAUGUAUCUUAGCAUUAUUCAGUUUUUCACUUUGAUCUCAUACCCUUGUCCAACAACUUCUUCUGAAUUUGUUAACAUGGCCGAUUUAUAUUUUAAUUAACUAAGUAAUUAGUAUUUGCAUAUAAAUAGCUUACCUAUGUCAAGAAUUAAGCCACAAAAAGGCAUUUUUGAGGUAAGAAAAAUAUUUAUCUAGAGCGUUUAUUACUAUUGUUGGCGGUUGAAACGAUUCUCUGGCUCAAGCCUAAGCCGUGUUGAGAGUGAAGAAGCCGUAGGACGGAAAAAAAGGGAUACAAAAAGAACCAAUUUUGUAGUAAAGAUGAAAAAUAUUAUUAAGCAACACUAAAAACUAAUUACAUUAACCAAUUGCUAUGUUAAUACAAAGGCAAUACCCGAAUCCUACUAUAAGCAAAGAUCAUAAAUUCUAAUCUAUAUCUAAACUUAAUCAGAUCAAAAAUAAUCAAAUAAUCAAAUAAUCAAAUCAAAAUAAGAAAAAUACAAAUUUUUUUUUAAAAUGGCCUAAAAAUGUAAAAACGGAGGACAAAACAAUUGAAUUUGGGUCCAAAGUCGGUCGGAUAGCUUCGUAGUUUGACGCCUAGAUCUUGAAAUGUGUUUUCCGAAUUAGGACUGUACGCUGAAAUCAGACAUCUGAGCGAAAAGUUAUAAUCGUUUAUAGAUUUAUCACGCCGAUUGUAAAAACUGCCGAACUCUGGCCAAUUUUUAGUUUAGCUUGAUUGAGUCGUUUUUUUCUAAAAACUCUAAUGCUAAAUUGAGUACAUUAUGCUCUGAGAUCCAAAAGUAGCAAUUCAAAUUUUCUGCUCUUGUCGCAAGAGAAAUCCUCAAGAGAAUUUAACCGAAAUAAUUAGCUUAAUUCCUUGAUCAACUCUAUUCAAAUAGUAUUUUUUACAACAGCAAAAGCAGAAUCAUUUACAAAUAGAUGCAGUUACUUUAUUCUCAAUAUCUUUUAAUAUCAGUGCUUGCAAAAACUUGCAAUCUAAAACUUUUAGACAACAACACAAAAAUUUACACCUACUGAAAGUGUAAAUGAUUGUCACAUUUCAAUGCUCAUAAUUCUUUGCAUCUUUGUGAUGACAAAUCUAAAGAUACCUCAUAUAAAAAAUUAGAACCAGCUAACUCUUUGAGAUCCUGUUUUAGCUUAUAUUGAAGUAAUGGAAUCUUUCCUCUAAAAAAAAGAAAAGAAAAAAGAGUAAUGGAAUCUUGAAUUAGCUGUUGCCACAGUAUCUGCAGCUACAGGGUUCUGAUCCAGAUGUUCCAUCAACUCAAUGGAGCCACAUAUAUAUGCAUGCUACAGAUAUUUUACAAGUCAUAGGCUUCAAUGAUUGAUAUUUAUGCGAGAAUUUAUGGUGUAAUAUAAAAGUCAAUACUCUUCCUCACUUCCUAAUCAGGCCAUUACAAGUUGACUACAAUUUUUUUCCAAGUUUUUGUGGGACCAUUAGCCCUAUUAUGUACUCAAUUAUUGCAGUUUUAUUAUACCCAGGUGGAGUCUUCUUCUGGAGAUUCUUUUUUUAUUGAGAGUGGCUCGUGGUUUUAUCAAUAGAACUCCACAAAGUUUGGAUCCUGUCAAAUCACCAUUCAUUAGGUUCUAAUUGCAUGGCGCCCGUUGACAUUGUUAAUAUGUUCUUCGAGUGGUCGAUCAAACAUAGGUUUCUGAUUCAAUCAAAAUACAUAGCUCAAAUCAAGUAUAAAGAAGCUUUCGCAAUCUUCGUACUGAAAAGAUUCAAAAAGAUCAACAAGGUUGUAAGUGUAUGAAACUUGGUUCAUUCACAAUAGCCUUCAACAAAAUGUGUAGCUUCUUUGCGGUUUGUUUUGAUCUCAGUAAUUAGAUAGUCUAUAAUGCAGAGUUGGAGCAACCCUGUAUACCAGAUUGAUCUACUUUUCAUCAGGUUUAUCAAUUAGGAAAGGUGAAUUUUUAAAAGACACUCAGGUAAUUAAGGCUAGCUAUUAAUUCAGCAUGUACACUUAACUAAUCGAAAGUUUGCUAGUAACUACGAAAUUUCUAGUUAAUCUUUUAUUAGAGGCAUACGAAAUGCCAGAUUCAAAUUAGUAUGUUACGUAAUACUGAAACUAAUCAAUGCCAUUCCCAGUGCUGCAUCAGGAGUUCAAACAAUGCUAUAAUACACAACUUACGCUGAAUUUGUAAAAUUAUACUUUGCAAUAGAACUAUUAUGCAUGCUAUUAUGGAAGAUCGAAUUAAAAUGGCGAUAUAUGACUUUUUUGAUAAUUUGUAGUCUUUUUCUAAAUUAUGUCAACUUAAUGUAUAUUUAUUGAUGUCAUGAUAAGCAACAUGAUUUAAAGAUUCUAAUUUAUAUGGAAUUUUGGUAAUGUAAUAUAUCAAAAGGGCUAUGCCCUGGUCAAAAUGAAGAUCCUCCGUUUUAUCGGUAUAUUCAAUUAGAUCUCUGCUGGAUAAGAAUGCCAUACUGUAUCCACUUGUCUAAUCUGAAAUUUUGACCCAAUUUGUGUUCUCUUAUGUACUACUAAUAUCAGCAACAUGCAGAUAAGGCAUAGGGAUAUUCAUGAGAUAAGAUAAGGCGAGGCGAAGUAGGAGACAGGGAAAUAGAAUUUGUUAUUUCCUCUAUUGUUUCCAACUUGUUCAGAAAUGUCUAUAAUUUAAUUCCUUUCAUGACGGCGACAAAACAAGCAAUCAUAGAAGCUAUUUUAAUGGAAAAGUACGUCAAAUGAUCUGGCAAAGCAGAGUUUGUGUUGCGACCGAGUUGUUGAUUAGCUAAUCCAUGUUUAUAUGACGGGCAAAUGAAUCAUCUCAACUUUUUAUCAUCAAAGUUAACACUGUAUGUUCGCCAUCUUUCGUAUUUAAAUUCGGUUUUCAUGAUCUUCUUAUUUAUGACUCGUUUUUUUAGGACUCUUUCCCGCUGGGUGAGACGGGUGCGAUGCACAUGAAACUAUUAUUCCUCACAAACUCGAAUAAAUGGUUCUUCCGAAAAGAGAGUAUUUCAAUAAUCUCGUUUCAGAUAGUGGAAUGAACUCUGUAAUACUUUCUAUAUAGAGGCGGUUUUCAUGUGGAAAAGAUAUUCAAAUAUCAAUUUCUUCACAUGGGUUUUGAAGUAAAAUGUGGAGUGAAGAAUUUCAGCGAAAAGCCUAAAGAUCCUCGGGGGACUGUCGGAAAUCUACACUGUUUCAAAGACCAUUAUUUUGGUUUUGUUCUAUAACUGGCUGUUAUAACAUUAUCUGACUGUAUAAAGAGAGUGCAGGGGAAGACACUUACAGGGUUGGAACUGGCUAUCUAUGUUCAGUUCCUUGAAUUCCUACUGAGUUUAGACCUCUGCCUCUGCAGCAAUUCAACUACCUAAUCAUCUACACUAUGUGAGGAAAUGAAACAAUUUCCCUCCUGAUUAAGGACUUUGACAAUCCUCUGCUUUGCCCCGUUUGGCCUGCUUUUUGGGGUCCGAAGCAGCCCGCCGUUGCAGUAGGCUAGGAACUUUUGCAGACCUCAGCCCAAAAUCGGAAUGCACCGCGAGGCCAAACAGGUCCUCUCAUUGCAUUUCGAGAAAUCGUAAGAAACACCCCAGCUUUGUACUGGAAAUAAGAAGGGAAGUGCGCCCGUCGGUGAAGUCGAUUAAAUGUAAGAAAGAAAAACUAGCUGUUGAAGCAAGAAACUGGGGGAAUUGCCCUGGCAGUGGCCUUUUAAAGCGUUGCCGGUUAUUAUUGAGGGAGCGAGUUUUGUAGCUGCUGCUGUCGUCACUCCCUCCUUCCGUCGAGCAGAAAGAACAAAACUAAUUGCAGUCCCGUCAGUUUUUGGGCGACUGGACGUUUUUCUUUUUCUUUUUCUCAAGCAACACGUCUAGGCUAGGAUUGAAUACCAUACAAACUUGUAAGGAUUGCGAGAUUGCCGUUGCCUUGUAGGUGGUGCAUUUGAUGUAAUGGUUUAUACUGCAAGUUUGUUGCAAAAGAUACAAAAUUGCCGUCACACUAAUACUUCAACAGCAACAGCAACAACAACAACAACAACAACAACAACAACAACGUAAAUAAGUUUAAAGCUCAAAUAAAUAGGUAAAUAAAGAGUACAGAGUAUCAACCAAGACGCAGGAGGCCUUGAUAAAUGUGAGCCCUCCUCUCCUGUCGGUAAUAGAAAGCAAGGUGUAACAAAUACUGUCAAAAGCAACAUAAACAGUGGUAGCAAUAUGUCUUUCUCAAGAUAACUCAAGGCCAUUCUACUUCGAUUCAGGCUAAAACUAUAUGUUAAAAAAAAAUUUAAAAGAAACUCAUUCAGACAACCCAGCCUUGCUCCUCAGAUGCUCCUUGAAUUCCAUGAUAUCUCCCUCCCACCUUGUCACAGCUUGAUUCUCGCACACCCAAAUCUCCUGCGCCACCUGAUUGAUCAACCUGAAAUCGUGGCUCACCAACACCAGACCACCAUCCCACUCGUUCAAUGCUUCCGCGAGCGAAUCGAUCGUCUCAAUAUCAAGAUGGUUCGUCGGCUCGUCAAGCAGCAGUAGGUGCGGCUGCCUCCACGCGAGCCACGCAAAAAUAACCCGACUCCUCUGCCCGUCCGAUAAGUUCUUCAUCGGCAUAAUUUGGGCUUUUCCUGAAAGCCCAAACUUCCCAAUCGCAGCCCGCAUCCUCUCCUCUUCAUUUCCAGGGUAUUCCCUCAUCAUGUACAACAGAGCUGACAUUUCGAGAUCGAGCUUCUCCGCCAAGUGUUGAUGGAACUGCGCGAUCCUAAGGUGAUUAUGCCGUCGGACCAUACCAUCCAAGGGAACCAGGUCGCCAGUCAUAAGCUUUAGCAAAGUGCUUUUUCCUGCCCCAUUAGGGCCCACCAAUGCGAUCCUUGAAUCGAGAUCGACCCCGAAGUCAAGGUUCUUGUAUAUGAGAUUAUCUGGUGUGUACCCAAAGGUAACUUCGACGAACUGGAGAACAGGCGGGGGAAGUUUCCCUACAUCAGUGAAGCGGAAGACUAAUACCUUGUCUUUUACGACCCUUUCAGUGAGUCCACCGCGCUCCAUCUUGGCAAGGGUCUUCUCCUUGCUCUGGGCCUGGCGUGCCAGCUUGGCAGACCCAUGGCCAAAGCGGGCUAUGUACUCCUUCAUGGAGGAUAUCUGCUCCUGCUCCCACUUGUACUGCUUCAUUUGGUUCUCUUCGAGUUCAGAUCGGGUCUGGACAUACUGGUCGUAGUUGCCAGUGUAGAGCUUGAGCUUCUUGUUCUGCAUGUGGAUGAUGUUCGUGCACACGCCAUUGAGAAAGUCCUGUGAGUGCGAGAUUACCACAAGGAUGCGGUCAAACUUCUUUAGCAUCUCCUCCAGCCAAACACAUGCUUCAAGAUCUGCAGUACAGUGAGGAAUAAAUAUUAGUUUAGUCUAGGAGUAGUUAUUCCAACUACUGUAACUUUUUUUUGGUUCCAAUACAUAGACACAGAAGGAAGACAAAGGAUCUUUGGCAUUGAAAAAUACUCUUCAUGAACAGGAAAAAUUAGAUGCAUUUUAUACCAUAAGAAUAUAAGAAAAGUAUAAUAUGCUUCUUUUUUAGGAGAUAUUCACAUAAAAGGACUUGAAACUUUACCAAGAUGGUUUGUAGGCUCAUCGAGCAAAAGGAUAGUAGGGUUCAUAAAUAGAGCUCUAGCUAAAGCAAUCCUCAUCCGCCAACCACCAGAGAAGUCUCGAGUUUUCUUUGCUUGCAUCUGUUUAUUAAAACCUAAUCCGUACAAGAUUUCAGCUGCACGCUUCUCAGCAGUUGCUGCGUCAAUUGCCUCCAACCGCUCAUAAAUUCGUUCCAAAGUUUCUCCACCGCCACCGUCCUGGAGAAAAAUUACACUUUUAGCAUUACACAAGAACAUGACUAAUCCACUUGUAACAGAAAAAAGAGAAUGAAGAGGCUUCAUGGUCUAAAUACAGGAAAAAAUGGAGUUCAGUUUGCACACAAACUCCAACUCCACCCUGGUUUUUGCAUUUUGUAACUUUGGCCAUCUCCAUUAGUAUAAUUUCUAUGUAAAUUAUUACUUGCGCAGACUAAAGAUGCCCCUGACUAGAAUCCUAAUGCGCUUACUCAUCACAAGGUGUUGCCAAAGGUGAAAAAGGUUGCUAAAAAUGAGAAAAAUGGGCCAUAGUUGCAAAAUCAUAGGAAAGUUAAUAAAACUUUAAAGGGAAUAUGAAACUAAGCUGACCUCAGCGGCCAAAAUCUCAGCUUCUUUCUCUAGCUUCAUCCUUUCUUCAUCACAAUUGAUGACUGCUUCUAGAGCCGUCAUGUCUGAAGCUUCAAUCUCUCGGGUGAGGUGAUAAAUAUCCAUAUGUUCAGGGAUCGGGAGCUCUCUACAUCCUAUUGCUGUAAGAAGUGUAGACUUCCCACAGCCAUUCAAGCCAAGAAGACCAUAUCGUCUGAAAGCAAAAAAUUGCACUCAUCAGUUACAUCAAUCACAUCAACAAUUAAACUAUGACCGUUACUCCAUUAGGAGGUUUAUGUGCGAACAAACAUUGCUGUACCUUCCAUAGUUGAGCUCCAGUUCAGAAUCUACUAUAAGGUCAUGCCCGUGAAAAGUUAAUGAUAAAGACUCUAUCUGCAAUAUACGCAGAACAUGAGUGAGUUUAAACUGUUAACAAUAUAGAAGCAAUGAUGAAAGAGAUUGUGGUAUACACAUGUUGAGAGAUCAUGCAAAGGAUCGUCAAAGAAAAAAAAGGGGGAGCAUCAACUUGAAUUAAAGCAAUAAAAAGAAAGCCUACAAAUUCAAUACGCAACUUUACCAUGCAAAAGGGGUAAUCAAUACUUUAACAUUAAAGUUUGCAGUUCUGCACUAACGGAAAUGAAUUCCUUUUAGUAUCAAUCUGAUCUAGCAAGUCGAACACUAGUCCAGAGCAUCUUAAUCAAAAGAACAAGUAUCAUAUGCCGUAACACAUAAUCAGACGAGGCAGGGUUAACUGAAACUGUUACAAAGCACCAUAUACCUCAAGCAAAUAAAAGAUAGAAGUGCCACUUCUUGCAGUUCACUAUUUGCGUACAUGCAAACAAGAUAAGUAUUACUCAAUAUUACAAAAGUCGGUAGUACACUCUUAACCAAAAGAGCUCAGUUUUGGAUUUGCAACUACCUAAAAAUAAGAAACCGACGAGCAUCUGUUUUGGACAACAGUUUUGUGGAGAAAUCUCGAGAGUAAGAAAUAACUCAGAUUUCAUUGGUGUCUAGUACAGAAGCAAUGCCAUACAUUCUUGUGCAAUUUAAUAUCGAUAGUAAUACACCAGCAAUUUGAUUCACUCCAUAAAAUUUUAUCGCAAUUAAAGAAGCAUUUCUGAAUAAAGGUUAAGUAUCCUAGAUCAAUUGAUUACACGAAAAGAAAAUAAUAAUAAUAACAAUAAUAAAACACAUAUCACAUCUACAGAAGACAAUAGUGCAUCUGUAAGAGAAGGGAGAGGCCGUAUGAAUAACAGCAGUGGAAAGGGACAAGAAAGUGAUUUCGUACCAAAAUAACAAAAGAAAUUGCUUACUAAUCCAAAAGAAUAGGUCCAAAUCUCACAAAUUUCCUCUGAAAAGCGCCUUUUUCUUGACAAUUUCCACAAAAUUUACAUACAAUCGCAGCACAACUCAUACCGCAAAAUUCAGAUCAUUCAUUUAAUUGCGAGAAAAAGAACAUGGGAUAUACCAUGGCAUUAAGAAAACGCAAUCAGAAGCUAAAUAGCGCAUACAUGGAUAUCUCUGGAGAGGGGAUGAGAUGCGAGAACUCCGGUGCACGUCCGAUCCGAUAGGUGGAGCGAUCCGACACCGUCGGCGAGCUUCUCCGCCGCCCCAUUCUGCGCCUCCGCGGCGGCCCUCGACGACGACGACGACGCCGCCGCCGACGACUUCCCCCCCCUCUUCGCCGCCGCCGCCGCCUUCUUCGCCGCGGCCUUCUUCUUGCUCGCGUCCGAAACCAUUCUCCUGAUCCCAACAACAACACACACAAAAAAAAAAACCCUUAAAAAGAAACUCAAAGCAGAUCCAAAAAACGCACGAUCGAUCCCAAAAAAACGAGACGACGAGAAGUAAACCCUAGAUCUAAGCAAAAGAAGGGGGAAAAACGCUUACGAAACUGGGGACGAGAUGCGCGAAAGGGAUUCGGCGGCGAGGGUUUGGAGGCGAGCUAGGGUUUCGAGGCGUUCUCUGUUGGAAUUAGGGUUGUCCGAAUUUUUUUUUAUUUAUUCAAAAAUUCAAAAAAAUAAAUAAAUAAGUAUUUUACGGUAAUUUCCUUUCUCCGCCGAGAGAGGAAAACUAUACCCUUGCGAUCGAAGGGUUCGAGGGUUUGGCAAAGAGGAGCAUGGUCUAUAUUUAUACUACAAGAGUUCUCCUCCGUUUUUUAAUUAUUAUUUUAUUUAUUGGAAAACUUCAAAAUACCCCCUACAGCAUAACAUAUUCACAGAUGCAGUUAUUUGUAGCUCCAAUUAUAACUAUUGUUUUUUUUUUUUUUAAGCAAUAGGUAGCUCGCUACCUGCUUCAUUCAUUGAAAAAGUGAACUAAGCUACAGAGGUGAGGCAACACGGGCCUCGAAAGAGUUAAAAAAAAAAUAGAAAAAAAAAAGAAAAAAGAAAAAAAGAAAGAAUCCUAGCGAUUACAGUGGUGCAAAUUUAAUGACAGAUAGUACUUCCAUUGGUCCGUCAACAGUUUAAUCUUAUGCAUACACAGCAAUGGAUCUGGAUUGACCGAUCUGAAGAUCGUACCGUUCCUAACUUCCCAGAUAAUCCACCAUCAAGCUAUUAAACCGGUUGGUCCCGAAAGUGGGGAUGGCGAGUCCCUUCUACUUAUCCAUCUAUCCCAAACGAUAGUCACGUCAUCACCCAAGUUCCUUGCCUGUACAUUCUCCAAUGCUACGACCAUAAGAAAUUUGGAAAACACGCACCGAGCGAAUAGGUGGUCCACUGUUUCCUCUUCCAUCCCACACAACGCACAGAACGUGUUACCAAUCCAUCAUCUCUUAAAUAGGUUGUUUGCAGUAAUGUGCCUCUUCCUAAGAACGAGCCAACAAAACACUUUCACUUUUAAUGGUAUACGAAUCCUCCAAAUAUUACUAGCACAGGCGUCCCUCGUACCCUCAUCGCACAGCCCAGAAUAGGUUGACUUUACUGUAAAGCGUCCGUCUGAAUUUCAUCUCCAAUGCACAUUGUCCGUCCGAAUUAUAACUAUUGUUAAAUAGGGUAAUACAGUUUUUUCGUUUUUUUUUAAAGGGUAAAAUAAAAUAGGGUAAUAUAGUUGGAAUACAAUUUUUUUUUUUUUUUUAUCUUGUAUAACAUAGGUCAUUGCAAAAAAUAUUAUUAUUUUAAUAAAAUGUAAAGUGUAAAUAAGCUAUACCAUGAGGAGCUUUUUAAAAUUUGACAUACAGACAGGUGUGAUGUUAUUAUAGAUAAUGCUAUACGAAUAUCUGCAUAUGAAUUACUAUAAGGCAUAGUAAUUUAGGAAUCAUAUAAUGCUAUACGAAUAUCUGCAUAUGAAUUACUAUAAGGUAUAGUAAUUUAGGAAUCAUUAAGAGUGAGUUUGUAUAAUGAUCAUUAUUAUGUGGGAUAAUACAGGUCAAAGGUGGCCUCGUGGCCGCCAUGGUUAAGUCUCUAUAACACGUGGAAAACAUGGAGGCCUCGGAGGACUGAACGAAAAUUUAAAAAGUAAAAGGACUAAAGUGCAAAUUACUUCGAACGCGACUCCGUGAGCCCAAAUGCGUGAGUUUGGGCCGGAAUAUCACUAUCGUGCUCUUAAAACCAACCCAUUUUUGCGCAUCCAAAACGAAUUUGACCCAGUUCGGCCCAUUAACGGGCCCACUACAUCAAGGCGCAAACGCUUGGGCCAUGGCCCAUCAUCAUCCAUUCCAUGUACAUAACACGAUGCAUGAGACCUCAUGCAUGUAUGCUUCCCAUUCCAUUUCCCAGGGCGCCUAUUGGACAAACUGUGGGUCCCGCGCCUGGCAUCCAAUAAAUGAAGAGGCAACAAUAUGUUUUACUCCUGAAACGCAUUAAACUCGUUAUCUGGGGUCCGAACAUUCGUGACCCUGCACUUCAUCAUCUCCUCUUAAUACUUUGGCACCCACGCGUCCACAAUCAGAUUAAUAAGAUUAAUUAAUGAUUACUAUUAUUAUUAUGUGCGCAUUGUUAUAGUUAUAGUAGAUAAUAUUAUGUGCCGUGGUAUGUUUUUUUUUGUGCUUUUAUCACCUUAAUUCUAUGUUUAACAAAAAAUUAAUAGGGACAAUCUCUAUGUUUGUAUGUUAAAUCUGUUGGGGAUGGAAUGUGUUCUAGCUAUUAAACUUUCACUCGCUUAAAACAGAUAAGUACACUUUGGCAGAUACUAGAUGGUGUAUUUGAUUUCGAAUAAUUAGGUUGAUGGUAUGGGUCAAAAGGAAGCAGAUGGAUUGGUGCUAGACAGUACGGCUAAUGUGGCGCAUCAUGCCCGAGCAGUAAUUCUCCUCUUGAACCUGCAGUUACAACAGUAAAAAGCCUUCCACUCCCUAGUCCCUACUUGUUCAGGCUUUCUUGACAAAUAAAUAGCCCACAAGGUGGCAGGUUACUGCAUGCAUACAUAGAUCGCACUAUGUAGAUUGGGUCUAUAUAUGAAAUUGAAUUUUGAACACCACCUCUCAUACUUAACAUCGUGUCCAUUCAAAAUUGAUUUUUCUGUCCAGUUUCAACUAAGGUCGCCCUACCAGUUUAAACGUUGAGACAUGGAAAAGCAUGACGGCAACAAUUAAGUAGGAUUUACAACUUACUAAUUAAGCUGAGAUUAAAAAAAAAAAGAAAAGAGAAGCUAAAUGAAACUAAUAAAAAGAUUUACAUGCAUUCUCUAACUAUUUUCUCUCUGUUCUAGUAGGCCGUUUUCUAUCUUCUAUAAUCUGAUUCAUGCCAACAAAAAAAGGGCUAGAUAUAUAGUGCUGGCAUUUUGAAGUAGCAAAAAGAGAAGAUCACGCCAAUUCACAUAAGAGAGCACGCGUUAGGAUUCUCAUCACUAAAUAGCUGCGGGGCGUAGACCAACUCGACAGUAUACCCGCACCCCCGGCAACGAUCCAUUCCGUUAGCCUCCGCCAUCAUGGCAGCGAUUGCCUCCGCCGUCGCGACCGCCGCCUUUUCCUCUUUCCUCUCAUCCUUUUUCUCGCUUUUCUCCCUCGCCGCUGCUUCAUCCUUCUUCGGUGCCACCACCUCCACCGGCCGCUUCAGCUUCGCUUUCGCUGCCUCCGGCAGCGCCUUUACGUCCAUCGUACCCUUCACGGUCACAUGAUCUUUCUCUCUGUUGAUCAACACUUGCUCCACACCUGCCGAGAAGGUGUAUGUUCAUAAAAGAAAAUGUAAUUUGGGGUCCAAUAUUUUUACCAAAACACGAAACAGCAGGGGCAAAUCAGGAAAUAAAUUACAAAAAACUGCUAAGGCCCACGUUGGUUCUGAUCGGACGGCCAGGACAGAACGGCUAAAACUCCAACGGCCGUACUUUAUUCCCGUUAAAAAAAAAUAAAAUAAAAUAAUUUACCUUUAAUUUUUAAAAUGGUUUUUCGGAUGCGGUGGACGCAGCCGUCGCAGUGGAGCGGAAUCUUCAUCACCACCGUCCCCACCACCGGCUUUGGAAAAAUAAAUAAAAUUAAAAAAAAUAUUGAAAUUUAAAUUUUAUGGUUUUAAUUGAAAAAAUGGAAAAAUGCGGGGUUGAAUUACGAGUUUGUCCUUGGCGGUGUUCUUAUCGCCGGGCUUUUCGGAAGCGCUUUUGGGAUCGGGCUUUGGGCUGCAGCGGUUGUUGCUGUUGAUGGAGGGUUUGUUAGCGUUGGGAGCGGAAGAGGCUUCGUUGUUCUCCUUCUUCGGGGGAUUCGAGGGGGAAACGAGCUCCACCUUCUUCUUCGUCUUCGUCUCCACCCGCUCCCGAAGCUUCCGCGGGUCCAUCCUCCCCACCACGGUGAGUCUCCCGCUCCCCACAUCCACCUUCACCCCCUCCACCCCUUCAACACCCCAAAACGAGUCAUCGAUCGAUUAAACCCUCGAGACCGAAGUCGAAAUCUAAAACCCUAGCGGAUCGAAUGGAGACGUACCUUCGAAACCCUUGAUGGAUUUGCGGAUCUUCUUCGCGCAACCCUCGCAAUGCAUGUCGACCUUCAACACGGCCGUGGUGGCGGCGGCGCCGUCGGCCUGCUUCGGCUCCGGCGACCCCGCCGCCACCACCUCUGGAGCCACGGCCGCCGCCGCGGCGUUCUCUGCUCCUCCCCCUCCUCCUCCACCUCCGCCUCCUCCUCUUCCCUUCUUCUGCGUGGAAACAAACGAUGAUGCGCAUUAGAUCGGGAAAAAAAUUGGAUAAUACAUUGGAUAUAUAGCACGAUCACCCACCUUUCCCAUGAUCGCCUCUCUCUCUCCUCUCUCUCUCUCUCUCUCCCUCUCUCUCUGUGUGUUGAGGAAGUGGAGAGGCGAGAGAGGGGGGAGAGUUUAGUGUGGGAUGAGCGAUAAAUAGGAGUGCCAGGGAGUGAGCAGUGGAUGGAGGAUGAUGAUGCUUUGCAUGAGUCAUUGUAUCAUGGCAUCAUCAUCAUCACCAUCAUCCAUGGGCAAGUGGGAUCCCAUGAAUGAUCAUCACCAUCAUCAGGCCAUGAAGCUUCGGAUGAGAGGUGGUGGCGGGGCCCACCGUACGGUGGGGCCAGGCAAAGAAAGAACGUGGCCUCGAGUACUCCGUACUCCUCAGUGUAUAACGCUGUGUAAGAAUCCUCCUUACGCACUGACAAGUGGGCCCCCGAUGGCACAAUCCACGUGUCGAAUUUUCAUUCGGCGACAGCGUAACAAAGUGUUACAUUGUAGGUUUUUUUUUUUUUUUUUUUUUUUUUAGUGGGUUGCAUACUAAUUAUGGUGGCUUGGAGCCACGUGUGCCCAUGCAUGCUUAUCAACAUGCAUGUGCUUAGCAACUUGCACGUACACCCCCUCCCAUUGCAUGCAUAUCUGUUUAAUUAAGGAGGGUGUGCAUGCACUUCACUAAUUAAGUCUCUCGUUUCUCUCUCUUUCUCGUGCGACUGAAGCAGGGGACAAGCUUGAGGAGUGCCGCGGAGAGAUUUCGNUUUUUUUUUUUUUUUUUUUUUUUUUUUUUUUUUUUAAGUCGUAUUUUGGGAGGAGAGCUCCUCGUCGAGGGAGGCCGCCGUAGCAGAGGUUUAACACGUGGCGUAUCAUAAGCAACGUACCGUCCCGCACGUUUGAAGUGGCUGAUUGGUGGACAAAAUGACGGGAAUACCCCCGCUCAGACGCUUCUUUUGAUUAUUGACCACGUAAGGUGACAAGCGUAUUUGUGACAUUACAUCAUGCGACACCACGCUUGCAAUGAAGAUAAUUCAUCUUUACCUUGUGUUAAUUAUUACGGGUUUGUAUAUUUAUUUAAGUUUGAAUUAUUUCACUGUAAAAUAUUUAAGAAAGGAUGUCUUGUUGUGUGGUGGUUAUACGCGUUGGAUGUCUCAAUGGGACUCUAUUAUGAUUUUUCCAUAUUCUCGUGUACAGUAUUUCUCUGUGUACAUGAAAAUUUCGCUGCAUGUCGAUCUUAGCCAUCGAUAUUCGAUGGUUGAGAUCUAUCUCAAUGUAGAAUAUGAGGCAGGAUGGUUUCAUAAACAGAUUUAUAUUAUGUGCUUUUUCAAAAUUCUCGUGAUGAAUUACGUAAAUUUGAAUUCUCAAUGGAAUAUGUAAAUUGGUAACAGAAUUUCUAUUAGUUUUUUAAAAUGGUGUGCUCAUUUGGUGCCCUCGGUACGCAGAGGAAUUAUACAAGCUAACGAAUGACAAAAAAAAAAAAAAAAACUAUGCACAAGAACUUUUUGAAAUUUUUUUCGCACAUGAUGAUUAAUUUAGCCGCAAGUCAUGAUAAUUGUUAUUAAAGAAUCAACAUAUGUAUAUAUUUAGAUUUUCUUCUUUUUUUGAGAGAGAGAUAGGUAGCACGUUACCCGCUUCGUUUAUUUCAUUUAGAAAUAAACUUAGCUGGAAAUGUGAAUCAACUAGAAUUCGAACUUGGGUCUCAAAUACCAACCACCAAGUUCUUUGGCACCUGCUCUAGAGACGGUUGGUUAUAUUUAUAUUUUUCAUAGUUCUCUUUGUCAUUUUCUUUUUUCUAUCAGAGAAUGGUCAAGUGCUGCUAAACAAUGUGACAGCUUUCUAUUCCAAUGAAGGUCUCUGAUUUAUUCCCUGCAUGAUUAUGAUAUAUUGUUAUAAUAAUCAGAGCCAAGGCAUCUUCUCACUUUCGUUUGUUUUGGCUAAAAAACGAUUUUUUCGUACGUUAUUAUGACAGUAGGUUAUCACAGUAAUAAGAGGCAAAAGCCACCUGGGUAGUUUUGGUUCUGUAUAUUUUGCCUUUAUUCUAAGCAGAGAAAGAGUAGAUCUGGGCCUAUGUACAGGCCAUUCUCUUACUAAGAAGAAGGAGCAGAUCAACUUUGUUCUUUUGGUUUGCAUUAGAUGGGCAUUGGCAUUGGGGCUCUUUUCGACGCGCAAUUGUGAACAAAGUGCGCUCAAUAGUUGCACAAUAUUCUCGACUUCGAAUCCCCUGCUGAUAAGAAAUCAAAAUGCGUGAAUUGCAGGCUUUUGAGACGACUGUGUUGCUGUGGGUUCAAACUUUUGCUUUCUACGUGCAGUUCAAAUGCAGGAAGGGGACUAGAAGAGUAAUGUUUCAAUACGACUACGUAAAAUCGAUUCUUCGUCUUGUAUUAAUUUUGAGAAUUACUCAGUAAGUUUAUGUUAUGUUUGUUUAUUAAUAUUAAUAUAUACACAAUAACUCCGUGUUAUGCUCAAAGUAGGCCCAAGACUACGACCCAUCUCUAAGCAGGCCACAAAUUUGCAUCAACAUUUAAACGGGCCCUUAACAGGCCAUAAAUGGGCCUUUAGUGACGAUUCAACAUUUACACGCUCGAAGCUACCGCAGCACCUCCUUCGACCCCAAAACCACGCUCCCUCCUCUUAUCCCCAUUCUUCGAAACGUACUCCAAUGUCGUGGUCCACGUUUCCGACGCUCCGCCACCUCCUCCUCCUCCGCCCUCGCCUCCCGAAACCCUACCCCCACCCCCUCCGCAUCUCCUCGUCCUUGUCUUCCUCCUCCGCCUCAUCCCGAUCCCUCUCCUCCUCCUCCUUCUCCUCCUCCUCCCACCCCGUUCCCUCCGCCCUAACCCAAGGUAAGCUCCCCUCCCCCGCUUUAUCCCCUAACCCUACCGAUUCCUACCUCGUAUUCAUCCUCUUCCCUUCUCCAGAAUACGCCGAUGAUGCCGGAGGAUCGCCGGAGCCUCCGGCGGCGCCGUCGUCGGCGGCGGGGAGGGAGUCGUCGGUCAUCGACGUCAACCCGCCGCGGGGCACGAGGGACUUCCCGCCGGAGGAGAUGAGGCUUCGGAAUUGGCUCUUCGACAACUUCAGAGAGGUAGGAAUGUGGUUGUGGAGGCUAACCUGCGGAAUCUAGUGUGCUCAUCAGGUGUUUCGUCUUAUUCCUAGUUGGUUUUUCCUAAGCUAAGGUCGCGCGGAUCCUAUCGUUCGAGGAGGUCGACUUCCCAGUUCUCGAGUCGGAGGCUCUCUUUAUUCGGAAAGCUGGAGAGGAGAUCACACAGCAAGUAAGUGGUUGCCCUGCUCUUCUUGUCUUGUUGCUUAUAAAGAUUGAGUUCUUACGUGGCACAUUGUUUGGAGGUAUCUUAUUCUAUUGCAAAACUAAAGUCGAGUUUUUUGCUCAUCUUUCUUCUGCCCAUAUUAGCUUGUUUACGCAGCUGAGAACCUAGAAUUUAUCUGAUGAAAUCAUUGGCAAAUACCUGUUAUGUGACUUUUGCUGUUCUUUCAAUUUCUAGCUGUAUAAUUUCGAGGAUAAAGGGGGGCGCCGCGUUGUUCUUAGACCCGAAAUCACUCCUUCGCUGGCACGACUUGUGAUAAAGCAGGGGUAUUUAUGCAUUUCACCUUUUCUUUCUAACUGUUUCAUAUUUACCUUAGAAAAGCCAUAGAACCAUAGCCCGCUAUAGUAAUGAACCUGUUUAAUAUGAUAGUGGACUAAUAUCACUUGCCAAAGUUUAAUUUUGUUUGUUUUUCUCUUUUUUUUUCCCUGUGUAGAAAAUCUGCCUCCCUUCCAUUGAAAUGGUUUACUAUAGGACAGUGUUGGCGAUAUGAGCGGAUGACAAGAGGAAGGCGGCGAGAACAUUAUCAGUGGAACAUGGAUAUAAUUGGGGUUUCUAGAGUCCGGGUAUGUCUAAUGUAAGCUUCAUAAUUAACUGUUGUCCUUUUCAAAUGCAAAUUAGUGCUCAACAAUGUAUAUCAUGUUAACAUGUCCUAUUCCAUAUAUGUUAUUAACAUAUAAUCAGACCUAUUCUUGAUGUGACCUUGUAAAUUUGGUAUAUAGGCUGAGGCUGAACUUAUUCAAGCAAUUGUCAUGUUGUUUGAACGACUCGGGAUCUCAUCAUUGGAUGUCGGAAUCAGAGUGUCUAGCCGAAAGGUGCACUCGUAGCUUUGGUUCUUUAUUAGAAAAUCAUGCUCUAUUUAUUCAUACUAUACUUUUUAGGGAGGGUGUCCUUUCAGCUGUUCUUUUCCUUUUCCUUUUGUCUUUUCAUGUAGUACUUUGCUGUUAUGUAGUGUGUCGUGUAGCUGAGAUUUGUUUCUCCUUACAGGUCCUCCAGGCAGUUCUGCAAAUGUAUGCUAUACCUGACCAUUUGUUUACCGAAGUUUGUGUCAUUGUUGACAAAGUAAGUUUAUAUUCAACUUUGACAAUCCACACGUUGUAGUUGGAUUCAUUCUAUCCGCUUUAUGUGUGUUCUUUUGAAUAUGAAAAUUUUCACAUUCGCCUUUUUUAAUUGUUUUUCUGAUUUAAUAUUAUGCAGAUGGGCAAAAUUACUCGGGAAGAGAUGGAGAAGGAAUUGAUUUCCACUGGGGUAUCAUCUGAAGCUGUGAAGGGAAUAAUUGAAGUUCUGUCCCUUAAGUCAUUGUCUAAACUUGAAGGUUUGCCUACAAUUGUUUAUAUACUCAGAGGUUUCUUUCUCAGCAUGGGAAUACAUUUAAGUUACUCAAGCUCUAUACUUUUUGAGCUAUCUUAGAAGUAUGUUUUCGUGCAAAUGAUACUUCUCAAUCCUCCUCUGAACCAAUUGACAGUUUGUUCCCGAUGUAGAUACAAACUUUUUGAUUCAAUGGAUUAAGUUGAAAAUAGUAUGGUAUCGAUAAGUUCCCUUCUAUUAAAAUCAUAAUAGGUAUUUCUGAUCAGUUCAUGAUUAUUUGGUGUAAUCGAACUGGUGGAAGUUGUUUCCCAUUAUACAUCUUGGAUCUUGCUUAUGCAGAGGUGCUGGGAUCUGAUAAUGAAGCUGUUGCUGAUUUAAAGAAGCUGUUUUUACUUGCUGAACACUAUGGCUACUCUAACUGGAUUAGUUUUGAUGCAUCUGUUGUCCGUGGUCUGGCCUACUACACUGGAAUAGUCUUUGAGGUUGGUUUCAAUUUUAGCAUUUUUGUAAAAAAAUUUAUGGAUUUACAAGAUCUAUUCUACUGCAUGAUGUUAAAAUAGAAAUGGAAGGCAAGAGACUUUGAGUUCUCUUAGUUAGAAAUAAGAAAGCGAAAAAAGGUACUAUUAUGUGUUUGUUUUUCAUUACAAAACAAACCUAUAUACAGUGCAAGCACUCUGCCAUUGGUCCACAUGCCGCGGAUCUUUCUGACUUAACCCACCAUUCUUCGACACCUCAACCAAUUCAAGCUAAUACAAUUGCAUGUACUUCGCACCCAGGUGCUUAACCUAUUAUGCAUUUUCAUACCUUUAUAUAGUUGUAUAGAGCUAAUAAAAUUAACCUUUAACUACUUUACUGGAGCAACAUUCUAUACUACGCAUAUUUUGAGAUACUUACCUACCAUUUCUAAUUAUUAUCCUUAUUUUACUGACUACCUUGCGCAUGAUGCUUCAUACGAAUUGAUUCUAGUGAACUAGAGCAACACAUGUAUUCUUCUGGUAUAAUCUUUCCCUUCAGUGUACUGACUGUUCUAUUUUUGCUGUUCAUAGGCAUUUGAUAGAGAAGGGAAGUUGCGAGCAAUUUGUGGUGGAGGAAGAUAUGACAAAUUACUCUCCACUUUUGGUAGUGAUGACAUCCCUGCUUGCGGCUUUGGAUUUGGGGAUGCUGUCAUAGUGGAAGUAAGCAGAAAUUUAGUCGCUUUUUUCACUUGCUAUUUAUUUUCUUCCCGAAGAGUUAAGAAUAAAAGCUCAACAUGGCUUUUCCCAUGAGAUAUUUUUAGCAGUAAUCAUGUAGAGUUUAUUUGUUCGAUCAAUAAAGCAAUCUCAGCUUCACCACUACACAAAUUUUGCUAGCUAUCAAAUUGACUCGAAUCAGAGGCAUGUUGUUUGGAAAGAAUAUGCACAUACUAUUUUCAGAGACUUAAUAUUUUAUGAGAUUUUGAGUAACAUCAUCUUGGUGUACUCGUCUUAUGCUAGUUGCUAAGGGAAAAGGGGCUUGUGCCUGAUCUAGCGCGCCAAGCAGACGACAUUGUUUUCCCAUUAGAUGAGGAGCUUGAAGGGCCCGCGUCCAGUAUUGCUUCCUCUCUUAGAAAGAGAGGACGGAGCGUGGACCUUGUAGAAGAUAAGCGACUGAAGUGGUAUGCCUCUGAUCAUCACUUUUCAUUGCUUAAAAUUAUUAGUUAACAACACUACACAUUCUGCAUGAAAUAGCCAGUUGCUUAGCGCAUGCUCUGUUUCAUUUAUGUUUUUGUAAGUAUUGUUGUUACUGUUGCUCAAGCUUAACAAGCAAACACAUUUAUUUUGAAACAAAAAAAAAAAGUGGGUGCAGUAAAAUUACGAAAAGAAAAUGCAAAUCAUGCCGAAUAAGCGCUUUGUUUUCAUUUUCAUAUUAUCUCUUACUCUUCUAAACUAUCGGUUUAUUCAUCAGGGUGUUUAAGCAUGCGGAGCGGAUCAAUGCGAGCAGGCUUAUCUUGGUGGGGAACUCCGAAUGGCGGCGGGGAAUGGUUCGCGUAAAAAUUCUAUCCACGAGAGAAGAAUACGAAAUUAAAGUAGAUGAGCUAGGAUGAGUGUUUUAAUCUGAGCUAUCAUUUAAACUCUUCUGAGUUUUCAUUUAUACUUUUUGUAUUAUUUGUUUCUCCGCAAGCAUUUUCCUGAUUAUUUGUUCUUAAAUUUAAGUAUAACAGAAAAUCAUAAUUUUUGUAUGUGGCAGAUUAGGCCAAGUUUAUAUCCGGUUACGCGGGCUCGGUCGGUGAUUGCAUAGCUUGUUUAAAGUGGUACAUUUUUUUAUUUUUUAAAAUCUUCUAUUUUGACCAUAUUGCGUACUAAGGCUUGGUGGUCGCCAUUGAUUUUAGUUGCAAAUCAAUUGAGAUUAUAGACUUAGUUUGAUACUGAGGUCUAUCAGACAUUAUUAGAUAAUAUAAAAUUGUAGUACAAGUAUAUAGAAAUAUGUUUUUAUGUUUUUCGAUAGGAUUGUGAUAUGCGGAACGUAAUAUUACGUAUAAAAAUAAAUAAAUUUUUUAUUUUAAUUUUUUAUCGUACUUAAUACAAUUUUUUUUUUUUUUUAGAAAAUAGACAGCAAGCUACCUAUUUUAUUUAUUAAGAGGAAUGAGCUGAGCGUAUAAAGAUGGAAGCAGCUUGGACCUCCCGGAGAAACAAAAAAAUUAACAAAAAGGCCAAAGAGCCAAGUAGGGGGGAGAGGGAGAGGAAGAGGGAAAGAUUAAGAUUAAGAUUAAUAUCGUUUCAAGUCAGCAUGGUCCAAUUGCUGAGUAGAAGAAUAACACGUUCUAGUGACUGGGUAGCAUUGGCUGGAAUUGUUUGAAAAACAGAGUUGUUUCUAUCCCUUCAGACCACCCAUCAGAUCGCAACCAAUAGGGUUAAGCUUUGUGUUCUCAGUGAUUCGACAGGAUUUGCAACUAGUCCGGUCCAAAGACUUUGGACGUCGCCAGAGGUAUCACCAGGUGUGUCCAAUCCCUCCACGUUGAGGAAUAGGUAUCGGACAUAGACGCAGAGACAGAAAAGAUGAUCACGGCUUUCUGUUAAAAUGGCGCAGAAAAUACAUUGUUGGUCAACGGAAAUACCUCGGGUGAGCAAUUUGUCGAUAAUAAGUAAUCACUUCCGAAGUGAUAACCAAAUGAACACUUUGAUUUUGAGAUAAAUUUCCAAUCUCCAUACGACUUAAUACAAUCUUUUCGUAAUUUCAAGGGAUACAUAGAGGUCGUUUCGAGUCAAAAGACUCAAAACUGGGUCGAACCUAAAACCACGUUGGGGCUUCCGCAUACACGGACGAACGGCCACGAUCUCUGGUCGGUAGAACGGACGGUCGAUUAAGUCUCCCGCAUAGAAAAGGACGAACGGUGACGAUCUCUCUUGUCGGUAGGACGGACGGUCGAUUAAGUCUCCCACAUAGAGACGUCUAUACAUGCUCUCCGGUGCCGAGCUUCGUCCGUUAACUCUGCUCUAGGGUUUUCCAAAACCCCGAUUUUGAAACCUCUACGGUUCUCCGCCGCUCGAAGCUACGCCGAGAGGCUGAGAGAGAGAGAGAGAGAGAGAGAGAGAGAGAGAGAGAGAUGGGAGGGAAGUGUCCGCACAGGAAGGUGAAGAAGCGGAGGUUAUCCCACAAGAGCGCUCGGCGAUCCAAAUUCCUCGUCAAAGAUAUCCUUUUUUUUUUCCUCUAAUCUCGCUUCUUAUUUCGAUUGAUUGAUCCAUCGGGAUCUCUUCUUUUUGUUUCUUCUUUAACUCGAAUCGAUUUGGGGGUGAUCGAUCACGCGAUGAUGCGGUGUAUAGCGAGAUACUGAAGAUGGCGGAGGGGGAAGGGCCGAAGCCGCUGCCGCAUGAUGAGGACCUUCCAGGGAUGGGGCAGUUCUAUUGCGCCCACUGCGAGUAAGAUUUGAAAUUGAGGCGACUUGAUUCGAAAAGUUUUUGAGUUUUAUGGGGUUUUGAAAUCGGGAUGAUUCAAUUUGGUGAUUUGAUUUGGAAAGUUUUGAUUUUGAUGGGUUCCUUUUGGUGUAUCAGCCGAUAUUUUGCGAACGACGAUGUUAGGGAGGAGCAUUUCCGGUCAAAGCGCCACAAGAAACGGUGAGCUCUCGCUGCUCUAACUGUUCAUUAUCGAUUCAAUUGUAUCAGCAUGCUAAAUAUUAGUGUGGUUUAAUGUUAUUAUUGCUUAAUUCUUCUACUUUAAAAGUGGUUGGUGAAUACCGUGUAUUCUAUAGUAAAUUACUCCUUAUCAUCAAGGUCAGUGGAAAUGUUGGGCUCUGAUGAAUUAUAUGAAAUACAUUCAUUCUCUAAAUUAUACCCUUCGGUAAUAAGUAUGUGUUUUUAUUUAGGAAGAUUUGGUGAAAUAAGCAAAAACCCUGAUUGCAUAAUGCGCUCAAAUUGUCAAAUUUCAUGAGCUUUUGCGUAUGCGUUGCUGUAAAAGCAUUAGCAACUUUUCCCAUCACGAAGAAGAGUUCAGUUAAUAGUUCAGGGACAAAUAUCUUUUAAGGAUUAUUCUUUGCACUGUUAUAUUUCUCUUUCCUUCUUGGAAAGCCGGGUGCUUAUCAUUAAUCAUUGGACAAGGGUUUGUUUGUAGGAGUUUGUAUUUCGGUUCCCCUGAUUGUUAUCGACUAUGAUUACUGAUAGGCAUUUGCGGCAGUUUUGUUGAUAUACAAACUUUUUUUGUUCAAACACAAUAUUUUGAUGAUUGUUUCACAUUCUAUCUGAACCACUCUAUUUCCUGGCUAGUAUUGAAGGCGAAUUCUAUUUUUUUGAUAUAUAAUUUGGAACUGUAAUUUAUUGCAGGGUGAAGCAGAUGAACGGACCUGCACCACAUACGCAACUAGAUGCUGAACUAGCUGCCGGGAUGGGCAUGCCUGAUAAUGGCCCAAUGCUCAUGUCUAUGUGAACCCUUUUUCUUUGGUCUAUACUUUUUUUGUUUCCAUCCUACUACUGCAUUUUUAAAGCUUGAAGUUGAUAUCAACCUUCUUGAGGUAAUCUAAGUUCGAGAUGUUUUUUAUUCGUAAGUGUACCAACAUAGAAUGCUCCCGCCAUGGCAAAUUAAUUCUUAUGUAAUAUGCAUUUUCGGUUACCAUGUCAUCGACAUGUAUUUCUGGUUCGCUGCUCUCUCUUGGUGGUAAAUCAUGCUUUUCUACAGUAUAUUAUGUAACACUCCUGUAGGCAAGAAAUUAGCUACCAGAAGAAAGCGGAGGGGGGAAAGUGCAAUAUAUAUUGUUGUUUGCUCAUAUGUUGCCGCAGAUAAAUUUCGCCAUAAUUUGUUGUUGGCAUCUGAUAAGUGAAAGUCCGAAGUCUCAUUUGACGGCGGAUUGAUGUGUUGUUAUGUUGUUUAGUUUGUAUAAAUCCAUGUUGCUCAUGUUACUGCUGUUAAGCAACAGACAAUAUGCAAUAUACAUUGCUCAUGCUACUGCAGAUAAAUUUGUCUACCUGUCAGUUGCUCGAAUCUGAUAUGUGAAAAGUCCUAAGAUCGACUGACAACGUACUGUUAUGUUGAUUUACUUGCGUGAAUCUGAGUUUGCAUGCAGAUGUGUUUAAAUAACAGACAUGAAUAGUCUUCCAUCAGUUGAUUGUUUCGAUGCUUCCUUCUGCAUGAUUUGUCUUUCUUGCUCUCCUUGUUGGACUGGCAUUGUCCUACUCACAGUGUAGUAGGCAUGUUUUCUGUGAUAAUUUUUGUGCGUAGUUUUCGGAUGCAGUCGCGUUAAUUUUAUUAUCGGCUUCUACCUCAAUAUUUUUCCCUAAUAUUAGCUUCUGCCUCUUUUUUCUUUUUUUUUUUCCUUCUUUUCCACGUACAGUUUGUAACUUCAUGUACACCUCAGUGCGUUUGUCAAAUUACCCAAUAGUGUUUAAAAUUUGAUCUAGUCGACUACCCUAUUCAUGAGCAUAACACUGUUUUUAUUUAGUCGAAGCCUUGUAUGAAUGACACUAUUAGGAGAAGCACUUUAUUUAAUCAGGUAACAAUUGUUCUUACUAUGAAGAUCAACAGAGAGAAAUCAGAACUAUACUAUCUAGGCCAAGAGGUUGGUAAAGGAGUUAGAUUGGCAAACAUUCUUGAGUGUAGAACGGGAGUGUUUCCGACCAAAUAUCUGGGAUUACCCCUAUCUCCCAGACCACCUUCUAAGGAGGCGUGGAGGGGUCAUUCAAAAAUUUCAUCUUAAAAUCAGAGGCUGGCAAGCUAAACUUCUUUCUCGGGGGGCAGACUCAUUUUGGUCAACGCGGUUCUUACAAACAUACUUCUAUUCUCCCUAGCAGUCUUCAAAGCUCUAAGGUGGGUGAUUAAGCGCAUUGAAGCAUUUAGGAGAGACUUUUUUUGGAACGGCGGACGUAACUCCCCCGGCAAGGGCUGCUUGUUGGCAUGGAAAAACGUUUGUAGAAGUAAGAAAGAAGGGGGACUGGGCAUUCUAGAUGUAGCAUCCAUGAAUCUAGCGUUACUGACGAAGUGGUGGUGGAAAUUUCACACGGCUCCACAUCUGCAAUGGAAUAAGCUAAUUCGCGAGCUGUACUAUCGAAGGAGAAUACCUUUGAGAGAAGGCAAUUCCUUCAGACCUUUCUCUAACUGGUGGAAGGGAGUUCUAAGCCUUAAUACGAUUUUCAAAUGGGGAAUGGCAUACAAGCUGGGUAACGGACAUUCUAUAGAUUUUUGGUCGGAUAGGUGGACUGGAGAGAAAACGUUGAACCUUUCUUUUCCGGAGGCCUUUCAGGCGGCGGGGAGGAGAAACAUUAAGGUUAGCGAAUGUUUCAUGAUGGGGGCUUGGAACUAGACUAGGAUUCUAGGAACCGAUGUUGGACAAGCGCAAGGGCAGGUACCCAACCUAACUGAGCUGGUACAAAGGGUUUCAGCCUUCAUCAUCAACCAGAGACCGAACACGAUCCAAUGGCGAUGGAACAUUGACGGUCAGUUCUCGGUCAGAUCGGCCUAUUCGGCGCUGACGGACGGGGGGAUGAGAAACGUACGCAUUUCCAAGAUCUGGGAAUUGAAAAUUCCUUUAAAGGUUAAAGUGUUCUGCUGGAUAGUGCUCAAGAAAAGAACUCUUACUCGUGAUACACUAGUCAAGAGAGGGAUCUCCAACGAUCCUACCUGCGUCCUGUGUGGAACGCGAGAGGAGACUGUGGACCAUCUGUUCUGUCAAUGCGUGUUCAGCAAAUUUAUCAUUGUAACAGGGGUGGACGAUAUACAGGCACAGGAUCUGGGGGACGAAGUGGAACUUGUCUGGGAAAAAUGGUCAGAUAGAAAGGAUCGGAUCGCGAAGAGAACUAGACUCACUGAGCUCGUAGGCUGCUGGUGGACUAUCUGGAAGGUGAGGAAUGACCUGAUUUUUAGGAAUAGACUACCGAAUCCCGAAAUAGCUGCCCAUAGGCUUAAGAUAUUAGUGAAGGAGUGGGAAUCGUUUCUCUCGACUUGACCUUAGACUUAAGAUACUAGUGAAGGAGUGGGAAUCGUUUUUUUUUUUUUUUUUUUUUUUUUUUUUUUUUUUUUUUUUUUUUUUUUUUUUUUUUUUUAUCGGGGCCUGGCUGCCCACCCUUGUAGCCUAAUUCAUCAUUCCAUUGAAUGAAGCGGGUAGCGUGCUACCUUUUUUCUCAAAAAAACAAUUGUUCUUAGUAGUAAAAGUAUUAGUUUUUAAAUUGGAGUUCGUAAUUUUUAAGGAUCUGUAAUCUCAUUUAAGUUCUUUUCUGACAAACACAAGGUAGAAGAGGCUCUCUUUUAUUUUGAUAAAGAGGUAAAAUCUUAAGUUGUGGAAUAGAACCAUGGUGAAUUCAUACUCCUUGAGUAAUGUGUUUGUCAAAAUUAAAUCUCUAGUUUUUUUGUAGGUGUAUCUCCCUAAUUCAAAGAAAUCUAUCAAAGACACCGAGAAGUGAAAGAUUAAUUUUCCUUUAGAAAAGUGUGCGCUUUUUAUCUCUAAUUAAGUCUCCUAUAGUUUGUUCCUCCUUUACAUCCUAUACACCUACAGUGGAUAGGAUGGGGAAUCAAAAUGCUCGAGUGUUUAGUGGAUCAUAAAGGGUGUCCCAAAUCCAAAACGAAUAAAGCUAUUGUUGAAUGUUGAUGAGGGUCUUUUUCAUGUCCUUUUCUUCUAUUGUUUCUCUUCUUCUCUGUGUCAAUCAAGUCCUCAAGUUGGACAAGUUCAAGAUAAGGUUACUACAUGUGUCUCAUGUAGUUGGAUUGGCUAGCCUAGUUUAUCUAGAAUUGUUAAUUUGUCCUAAAUACUUGUUAUGUUGUCUCUCCUACAAUCACUGAUGUGCUAAUUGUAUUAUACAAAUUAAUCAGUUUGCAUUUUUAAACUACGUAAAAUGUUAGCCCAUCAGCAGCUUUUUAAAGUACCAUAUUGAAGUUAUCAAUCGUAGUUGCAACGGUGAAAUUUUUAGCCAUUCCUUAUUAUAAGAACGAUAGUGGGAUCUUUCGACAUUCUAGUGCAACCUUCUCAGUCACGCGAGCUAAAGAGUACAAACUGAUUGCUGAAUAUCUCGUACAUACCAGCACAUCAGUAACUGUUUCUACGUAACUUAAAAAGGCAAGGAUAGUUGAUAGUACUCAAAUUAUGGAUCUUUUCUCGCACGCACUCUCUCUCUCUCUCUCUCUCUCUCCCACUUGGGGAUGCAAGAGCUUUGGGGGGUGUGGAGGGGUCGAGCAUCACAUGAACCGGGGUGGAUGCUGUCUCCUAACGAAUUCCUGAUGGUGUGUAGUUGGAUGGUGAUUAGAUAUUUCUCCUCUUCUUCCUCCUGUCAUUUUCGGGCUUUCGGAACAAGCAUCCUAUGGUGUGGUCCCUCCUCCUCUUGUUAAUUACCACAUUAAAAGCUACCUAAUUUCACAUGGAAUUAUUAUGUCAAAGCUUUCGGCUCACGCAUGACUCAAUCGCAAUAACCUGUUUGGCCUGACUUGUAAAAUAACUUUUCCACGUGAAUAUUUGACAAAUACAAUAUAAGAGCUUUUCAAACAUCUCUUCUGUAUAGGCUACAGUGAGACGAAAUAUAAGCACUUUUUUUCUUUUUGGUUUUUUUGAGUUACAUUUCACUAAUUUUGGGAUAACCAUUGCGAGUUUCUUCCUAGCCUAUGAAAUUGUAGGUGGUUUUUCUAUUCUUAUCUUUUCAAAUGAUUGGAAAAGUCCAACAUUUCGUAUCUCAAAUUACGCAUAAACUUGCUCUUGCUUGAGCACUUGAAACGAGAUCCAGGAAAUUGGCAUGAAAAUCUUUACAUUCUUUUGUAAUCCUCCCUUAAUUUCUUUUUUCUUUUGCAUGCGGAGACUCAACUCCCUUGUUCAUGCACCAAAAAUAUCUACUCAUUGAUACUCUUCUUAAUCCACUCAUGUUUCAUUAUUUAGUCUCAGUGCUCUACACUACUAUACACCAACAUUUUAUAUCAAAUAAUAAUUUGGAGCACUACAAUGCACUACACAUAUUAUAAAAUGUUCAAUAGUUCUAUGAGGUACCAUUGCUUGGAAAAAAGAAAAGGGCCCUAAGUUUAAACUAAAAGUUUUGGGUCAAAACCAUCAAGUUAAUUUCAAACUUAGAUUGUAUAUAUUUAGUUAUUAACCCUCUUGUGUAUCAACACUAAUUUAAACACAAACCCCACCAAGAGCAUAAAACACGGUACGAGCCAAUCGCGAGACGGUUUACGUCGUAUUGUAUUGUAUUUAUUUAUUUAUCAUUAAUUGAGAAGCAUAAAAGUCUCCAUCUAGAGAAGAAUCGCUUCUCUUUGAAGUGAUUAUAUUAAACAUCAUGAUGACCAAAGGCUUGUAAUCCACACUUGUUUGUUAAUUAAUUACUUUUCACCAAUAAUGAUCAACAAAGACAAGCAAAUAAAAACAUGGUCCUUUUGAGGGGUGCAUUUCAAAAUGGCCUAUAUUUUGAGGGGUUCGAUCUCCAAACAUUUUCGUUUCUUUUUUCUUUUUUAAUUAAAAGUCUACCUUAUAAGAACUCCAUCUGGCAAUCAAAUGGCUCUAAUCUUUGUAGAGAUUAAAAAAAACAAAAAACAGAAAAAAGGGUUCACACACUACUGCUUGACCCACCAAACUUUUUGUCUCCUCUUAGGAAUUUCAACAUAAAGCUGGUGGGCAACUCAAAGAAGCAUCUAAUAAUCCCUUCUCUUCUAUUAAUAAAUCCGAGUGGAAGAGAACAAGCAGGGAUGGUGGUGGGGAUGGAGAAUCUCCACUUCUUUUCUAUGCGCCAACUAAUUCUUACCUAAUGUGCUCUAGUUCAUAAUCUAUCUCCAACGUGUUUGUUGUCGUCGCAGGUAUUUUGGUACCCGAGCAAAGCAAGUUACUUUAUAUACCGCCCUAAUAGUUUCACAUCGGGUGAAAAAUUAAUCCUUAUUAGAAUAUAUAAGACCUACAUGCUAGUUAUAAUAACUGAACUUAAGCAUUCUAGAUCGGUGGUUUAGGAUCCAACGAAUUAUUAUUAUUAGCGGGUCAAAUCGGGUCGUUAUACUUUAUUGGUGCAUGUAUUGCGGUUCGCGAUUUAGUGGCGAACAAGUUAUUAUUGUUAACGAAUCGGAUCGUUAUACAUUAUUGGUGCAGAAUCGGAUCGUUAUACAUUAUUAGUGCACGUACUCUCCAAUGACGUCUUAUUAAAAAAUUUUCUAUCAUUGGGUACUUUUUAAUACUAAAAUUUUAAAAAAAUCUAGAAUCAAAUUAUAAUUUUUGAAUAAAAAUAAAAUCGACAUAUGUUAAAAUUAUAGGGAAAUUAGGGAAGAAAAUUGUAAUAAUGAAGACGAAACCGAACACCUAAUUGCAAAAUGGACUAAUUUCGCUAAAUACACAUUACAUAAUAACAUAAUUACAUCACCAAUUGGAUCUUGCCCACAUCAAGAAAAUAUUAGAACAAGAAAAGCGCCAAAGCAAAAAAACAAAAUCUAGAAAUAUGACAAGAAAUCGAUUUAUCAUCAGCUCUAUCCUUCCCCAUUUUUGGCGCCUCUUCCCUUUCCCUCCUUUUCUUCUUCAAAUUUAAACUCUUCCCCCUUUCUCCUACGUCCCCCCUUCCCUUGCACUGUUGGACGGUCCCGGCGCUCCGGCGACGGCCUGAUUGUUCGUGAGCCGCUGCAGCUGCAGCAUUCGCGCAUAACACCCCUCCGGAAAGUGGUUGAGCAAGUGCGAGUGUGAUCCCUGCUCGACUACCUUGCCCUCGUCAAUAACCGCGAUUGUGUGUGCGUUCCGCACCGUCGCUAGCCGGUGCGCCACCACUAUCGUCGUCCGCCCGCCACCGCUGGCCGCUUUAUCCAAUGCAUCCUGCACCCACCGCUCAGACUCUGCGUCCAGUGCGCUCGUCGCCUCGUCCAGUAGCAUCACCUGUGCCUUCCUCACCAGUGCCCGCGCAAUCGCCACACGCUGCCGCUGCCCCCCCGACAGCUGCAUCCCGCGCUCCCCGACCCAUGUACGGUAACCGUCCGGCAAUGCUGAUAUGAACUUGUGCGCGUUUGCCUGCGUCGCUGCCUCGAUCACCUCGGCCUCCGUCACGUUCUCCCGCCCGUAGGCGAUGUUGUCGAAUAUCGUUGCCGCAAACAGGCACGGCUCCUGUGGCACCACCGCAAUGGCACGCCGCAGCAACUUAAGAUUGUACUUUCUUAUGUCCUUCCCGUCGAUGAGCACACGCCCGGAUGUGGGCUCAUAGAAGCGCUGCACGAGUGCGAUCACAGAGCUCUUGCCGCAUCCGCUGGGACCGACAAGUGCAAGGGUUUUUCCCGCGCGAGCGCGGAGGCUGAGGUCACGGAACACCGAGAAGUCUGGCCGCGACGGGUAGGAGAAGUCGACGUGCUUGAGCUCGACCUCCCCGCGGAGGCGCUCGGGGAUGGGAGCGGCCUCUGGGUCAUCAGGCUCAAUCUCCGUCUUGCGAUCUAUAGCUUCAAACACUGAGCGCAUGGCACGGCCGCCUUUGACAAAGUCUGGAGCAAGCGUAAGCGUCUCGGCAGCACCGUUGGCAGAGACCAUGAGCACCAUGAAGACGCGGAUAGUCUUGGAGAAGUCGGAGAUGCCGUGCUUCACGAGCCAUGCAGCAUACCAGAGCCCGAGCGCAUAGGAGGCAUAGAGGAGGAACUGUGCCACGCCGAAGCCACUCCCGGCGAUCUGGCCCUUCCAGAAGCAGCGCCGGAGCGGGCCCUGGAGGUUAGCGGCAAAGAGCUGAGUGAUCUUCGCCUCCGAAUUGAAGGCUGCCACAGUCCGCACAUUCGCCACUGCCUCUCCAGCAAUCUGCGUCGCCUUGGCAUGUGCGCCUUCGAGGUCACCGGAGAACCCUUUCAUGAACAUUUUCUGUGGCACCAUUUACACAAUUCGAUCAAGUUCCCAAUGAGAUCAAUAACACUAAAGCUGGUUAGAACAGAGAGGAUUUUGAAUGUGCAUUACCUGAAGGACAGUAGCACCAACGACGAGUGGGAAAACAGCGAUAAGGACAAGGGUGAGGCGCCAUUGCAGGACGAACCCAGCAGUGCAUGCAACAAGCAAAAGAGCCGAGUUCUGAACAAUAACAGAGAUACGGUCCCCAAUCGCCGACCGCACAUUAUGGGCGUCGAGUGCAAGCCUUGCAGCGAUCCUGGCGCUGGUGUUCUCCUCCCGAUCGAACCAUGCGAUCUCGUUUCUGAGGAUUGAAGCAAUCAUCUUCUCGCGCACUCUCUUCGUCAAGUUCUCACCCACAACGUCCCAGAAGAGGUGCUGCAUAGUAUUGAAGAGAAGUGCCGCUGAGGACACACCAAUAAGGAGAUAGCAGUAUUUGCCGAUUUGCCGGGUCAUGUACUUUGGGUCCUGAGCAUAGUAGAUGCUCAGAACUGCACUGAGGACAUAGGCGAAGAAGGCGCUCAUGGAGCCACACACCAUAGAGCCAAUGGAGCCGAUUAGGGCGUAGGCCCACUCAGGCGAGUUCAUCUUUGCCAAGCGCCAGAAAGAGCUGGCUUGGUCGCGGAAUGCGAGCUUCUCCAUGCGGUGGUUUGGGUCAAUCGAGAGGCUGAAAUCCGACGUUGAGAAAUCGGAGAGGCGGCGGGAGUACGGCGAUCGGCCGUAUGACGAGUUGCGGGUGAUGAUCGGGGAGCUAACCGAGUUGCGUGCACUUGAAGGCCUGCAGGAUUGCGAGAACUUAUCAAUCAACACGAACAAAUAUGAACAAGCACUUAAUUACAGGAAGCUAUUUUAAAAAAACAAGCCAGCUAGAGCUCAGAACAGAGAGGGUUUACCUGGCACUGCUUUUUCGGGCAUUGAUGAGAGCAGCCUCAUGAGCUUGUUCUUGCAUCCGGAUCAACUUCGCAUAGAGCCCGUUCUCGCCUUUGGCCAUCAGAUCAUCGUGGGUGCCGAUCUCCGAGACAGUCCCUUGUUGGAGUACGGCAACAACAUCAGCCUUGCGGAUGGUGGAGAGGCGGUGGGCAAUGACAAGGGUGGUGCGGCCGAUCAUGAACCGGUCAAGGGCCUCCUGAACAAGCUUCUCUGACUCUGAGUCGAGUGCGCUCGUCGCCUCAUCCAGUAGAAGGAUCGCCGGGUUCUUCAGCAUCGCCCUCGCAAUCGCAAUCCUCUGCUUCUGCCCACCAGAGAGCUGCAGGCCCCUCUCCCCCACCUGCGUCGCAUGGCAAAAUCAGUUGACUAUGCUUAACCAUGAUAAAGAUCCAUUUCUAUCAUAAGUUUAAUUAUAAGUUAACAUUGCAAGAAACAAAUGAAGACGAAAUUGCUAGAGAUUUGUCCAAGUGAGAUAUCUGGGUCCUUUUUCGUUCAUUUGUAUGCUAAAAGGACAAAUUUAAGGGGAGAGUACAUAUUCUCAUUUCAAUCCUACAUAAAUUCAGUUUAGAAUAAAUGACGGAUUACUGCUAUGCAUUGAUGUUGAUUGCUUAGAUGUCUUCACGUCCACUCUAUUUUGGUAAUAGUAUAUCAACAUGGUUUCUGAACUCUUUUCCUCUAGCCCAAUAUACUUAUUUUCUAUACGUCACUGAUUCUGCUGAGGUGGACACACAUUUGACUGAAUUUUUUUAUUAGACUCUGACCCGAUAAUACAUCGUUGAUUGGAAUGAAUGCACUACGUAAGAGCUUUAGACUUUCUUAGUAAACAGUGACUAAUUAAAUAUAAACUACUUGAUUGCUUUAAAAGAGGGGUAAUUAUGGCUAAACAAGCACUUUGAGUCUUUGACUGAAACCACCAUUGGAUCAUGAAUAGCUGCUUCCUUUUGACCAGCCUGUGUCUGAAAAGAUGACCUCACAAGUUCUGUCCUAUAGUAAUAUAUAAUAUUAGUAAUAUUAUGUGAAGUGCAUAGUAUAUAAAACAGAUUCAUGCAAACAGUGAGGUGCAAGGACUACAAAUACUGGCCAUGUGAUUUUGCUCACCUUCCAAUAACAAGGAUUAUUGUCUAGUAACCCUCCAGUAACUAUCCACUACAAUAAUUAAAAGGAAAAAUGAAGUAUUGGUUUAAAUAUUUCAAUUGAGGACAAGAUGAUUCAUGGGAUCAAUCUACUAUUCCUGACUAGAAAUAACAGUGGGACCGAGUUACUUAUUUUGAGCUUCAGCAUUAAGCAGUGUUGAAUGGAAAGUGAAACCUAACUUGGUCCAAGAACAGUGGGAGGUCUAUGCUGAGGUUAGAUUUAGAAAAGGACCCAAGGAAAGAAUCUUGUCAUGUUACUCCAUUUGAAAGCAAGGGGCAUAGUAGUCAGUACAGGAAAACAGGAUACAUUGUUAGCCUCUCUGUUCCGAGCGGACCCAACUGGUGCCCAUGUUUGCCUAAUAGUAAAAGAUGGUGGGGUUAUUCAACAGAGCAGUAAAAGUUGGGUCUAAAAAACACUAAAGACAAGGUAGUAGUUUGAAUCUGCUAAGUUUAUACUAUUUUGAUUAAACAUGUCUCAAUCAGAGUUUAAAGAUAUUUUUGAUUUUCUUCGAUAAACUAUUCUGUACUCUAUUAGACAACUCUACUAUCUGAUUGAAUUUUCCAGAAGUUUCUCUAUAAAUACCAUUUAUAAAUUAUAACUUUUAAGAGUUGAAGCAUCCAUUUCAAAAUGUGUUAUAAAUUAAAUAAAUUUUACGCACUUUUACUUAAAAACAACAAGGGGGAAAGUAGAAUAAAAAUAGUGAUUUUUUAUUUUUUUAUUUUUUUUGAGAGAGACAAAGGUAGAUACCCGCUUUGUUUAUUUUUCAGAAAUAAAUUUAGUUAGAAAUAUGAAACAAUCAAGGUCCGAAUAUGAUAUCUUAGAUACUAACCAUCAAACACUUAGAGAACUAGAAAUGGUUGCAAAAAAAAAAAAAAAAAAAAAAAGAAAAAAAAAGAAGCAAACUUUGAAUUAAAAA
rnacentral:lncRNA from 1 species